AACACAACAAAAUUUUUGCGUGCUAGCAAAGUUCAGGCAAUCUCAAUGAAAACACGCAAAAAACAGAAAACAAAACAAGAAACAAAAAAAGCAAAAGCUUUGCAACUUUUAUCGGACAUCAACCUGUGACAAAUGUCUGUGCGGCUCUGUGUAUAUGUGUGUGCUGUUUAUUGUUGCCGCUCGUUGUAAAUACAUAUCAAAGCAAAGCUAGCAACUCCCCCCUUCCACUACACCGCCAAUUCGCCGCGUUUAUGCGCUCAGCCUCUGAGCUUAAAAGCAAAAGGCAAAAAGCAAAAUCACUAAACGAAAAUCCAAACCCGGAACUUACGGACUUAAUCGAAUUUGUUGUCGAUCAGCGGCCAACAAAAUAAUAACAGCUGCUUGUACGACUGGCGUUGGCGUCGACGCCGACGUCGCAGCGACUUAAAUACAUACAUUUGAUCAUGCUGCCUGAUGACGACAAUGCUUACUGGUAUAGUUACAGGACGGGAGGGCUGGAAGACUACCACCUGUUCACUUAUUUAUUAUCCUGAACUAAAUGAAAGCCGCUGUCUUAUCAAACAUUUAUUAAUUUGAAGUAAAAUGUAAAAAUGUUCAGCCGAAAUAAUUAUGAAUCAGCGGUAUAAUAAACCAAUAUAUAUAUGGGGGAAAUAUGGAAAAGUGAAAUAUGUAACGGAACGAACAUGAAUUGCAAAUUAUUACGCAUGUAUUGCAGUGUGUGGGAGAGA